AUGAAACAGUUAUCUGGUGGGGAGAAGACUGUUGCUGCACUGGCAUUGCUGUUUGCCAUUCACAAUUUCAGGCAAUCACCAUUCUACAUACUGGAUGAAGUCGAUGCAGCUAUGAGAGAGGAGGGGUCGGGAGCGGGAGGUACCAAAGUCCUGUUGGAGAUGAGGCAGGGACGGCCGGCGUGCGGAGCGGAGAGGCGAGGGGGCGACGGGUGGCGGCGGGCGGCGGUGGCGGAGUGGAAGUCGGGGCGGCCGCCGCGGGGAGGGGAGAGGCGGAGGGCCGGCGUCUGGACGGCAGGGGCUGGCGGGGUGGAGACCGGGGGCGGAGGACGGCAGGGGCUGGUGGGGUGGGCGCGUCGCGGCCGCGCUCUCCGGCUGCUACAGCGGUCGGAGGAGGCCCUCGCUCGAUCGAGAGGGUCCCUUGGCAUUGCAAUGUAUGCAGAAAACACCUUGGGUUAUUCCCUAAUUCAGCGACCAAGUGCAUAUCCAUCUUCUCUGUUCGCUUCUUCCCUGAUACAAUUCGCACUGCCGCCGCCUAGGGCAUGUCUCCUGCCGCCGCCGCCGCCGUCGCUGCCUAGGGCAUGCCCCCAUCCACUGUUGCUAGCACAAAUCCAGUGCAACUCGUGCGCGUGCCGAUUCCUUGGCUCAGACCCGGUCAGUUUCAUAGGAGCCGAGAUGGACCUUCCCCCGCCGUCGCUGGAGCCAAACGCGUCGUGGGAGCCGGAGACCCUCGGCAAGGACGAUCAGAUGCCCGCGCUGCGGGAGUCAGUGUCGUUCGGUCGAUUCCUAUCCGAGUCACUCGAAUGGGAUACGAUGGGCCGAUGGGGCAUGUCUUGCCGGCACCGAUGGCUACCAUAUUGCAUGACCAAUCGCUGCCGGCAGCCGGGCUCAAUGAAGAUGUACAGGUCAAUUUCUCGGUGCCGACCACAACGGUCGGAGCUCACUCUGCCUCCAAUUGUAGUGAUGCAUGCAUUGGCGAUUCUGGAGCAGGCGUGA
rnacentral:rRNA from 1 species